GUGGCGGACGUUCAGACCCUCGUGCCCCGGGCCAAGCUUCUGGCCAUCAACGCUGCUGUGCACCAGCAGCUCUGUGACGAGAUCGAGCCACCCAGCCCAGAGCACAGAGCAGAGCUGUGCCGCUGCGCCGUGCUGCAGGCCCAGAUUUGCCCCGCGGAGACCAUCGUGUUCCUCUACUGCAAGCUGAGGAGCGGGAGCAAGGCCGAUCGCGUGGCAGCCGUGGAAGUGCUGCAAGCUCUGGUCCGCUCUGAUGGUCAGUGGCCCAGGACAGAGAAAGGGAGUCCCGCCGGGACGCUGCUGCUUCCUCUGCCGUCGCAGUCUGGCCCUGCUUUGC
rnacentral:lncRNA from 1 species